rnacentral:rRNA from 1 species
UACGUAGGGUGCAAGCGUUGUCCGGAAUUAUUGGGCGUAAAGAGCUCGUAGGCGGUCUGUCACGUCGGCUGUGAAAACCUGGGGCUCAACCCCGGGCCUGCAGCCGAUACGGGCAGACUAGAGUUCGGCAGGGGAGACUGGAAUUCCUGGUGUAGCGGUGAAAUGCGCAGAUAUCGGGAGGAACACCUGUGGCGAAGGCGGCCCCCUGGUUGGAUACUGACGCUGAUACGCGAAAGCGUGGGGAGCAAACAGG